CCUACGGGGGGCAGCAGUGAGGAAUAUUGGUCAAUGGCCGGAAGGCUGAACCAGCCAUGCCGCGUGAAGGUCAGUGCCCUAUGGGCGUUAAACUUCUUUUGUGCGGGAGCAAUAAUGGUCACGUGUGGCCAGACGAGAGUACCGUACGAAUAAGCAUCGGCUAACUCCGUGUCAGCAGCCGCGGUAAUACGGGGGAUGCAAGCGUUAUCCGGAUUUAUUGGGUUUAAAGGGGGCGUAGGCUGUGAGGUAAGUCAGCGGGGAAAUGCCCCCGCUCAACGGGGUGAAGUGCCAUUGAUACUGCCUUGCUGGAAUGCGGAUGACGUGGGAGGAAUGUGUGGUGUAGCGGUGAAAUGCAUAGAUAUCACGCAGAACACCGAUUGCGAAGGCAUCUCACGAAUCCGCGAUUGACGCUGAUGCACGAAAGCGUGGGUAUCAAACAGGAUUAGAUACCCUUGUAGUC
rnacentral:rRNA from 1 species